CAGCCGCCGCGGUAAUACGUAGGUCCCGAGCGUUGUCCGGAUUUAUUGGGCGUAAAGCGAGCGCAGGCGGUUAGAUAAGUCUGAAGUUAAAGGCUGUGGCUUAACCAUAGUACGCUUUGGAAACUGUUUAACUUGAGUGCAAGAGGGGAGAGUGGAAUUCCAUGUGUAGCGGUGAAAUGCGUAGAUAUAUGGAGGAACACCGGUGGCGAAGGCGACUCUCUGGUCUGUAACUGACGCUGAGGAGCGAAAGCGUGGGGAACGAACAGGAUUAGAUACCCCGGUAGUCCCUGUCUCUUAUACA
rnacentral:rRNA from 1 species